AACGAACGCUGGCGGCAGGCUUAACACAUGCAAGUCGAGCGCCCCGCAAGGGGAGCGGCGCACGGGUGAGUAACGCGUGGGAACGUGCCUUUUGGUACGGAAUAACAACGGGAAACUGUUGCUAAUACCGUAUACGCCCUCCGGGGGAAAGAUUUAUCGCCAAAAGAUCGGCCCGCGUCAGAUUAGCUAGUUGGUGAGGUAAUGGCUCACCAAGGCUCCGAUCUGUAGCUGUUCUGAGAGGAAGACCAGCCACACUGGAACUGAGACACGGUCCAGACUCCUACGGGAGGCAGCAGUGGGGAAUAUUGGACAAUGGGGGAAACCCUGAUCCAGCCAUGCCGCGUGAGUGAUGAAGGCCUUAGGGUUGUAAAGCUCUUUUACCAGGGAAGAUGAUGACGGUACCUGGAGAAUAAGCACCGGCUAACUUCGUGCCAGCAGCCGCGGUAAUACGAAGGGUGCUAGCGUUGUUCGGAAUCACUGGGCGUAAAGCGCGCGUAGGCGGCUUGCCAAGUCAGGGGUGAAAUGCCAAGGCUUAACCUUGGAACUGCCUUUGAAACUAGCAAGCUGGAGUGUUGGAGGGGAUAGCGGAAUUCCUAAUGUAGUGGUGAAAUACGUAGAUAUUAGGAGGAACACCGGUGGCGAAGGCGGCUAUCUGGACGACAACUGACGCUGAGGCGCGAAAGCGUGGGGAUCAAACAGGAUUAGAUACCCUGGUAGUCCACGCUGUAAACGAUGGAUGCUAGCCGUCCGGGGGGUUCCCCCUCGGUGGCGUAGCUAACGCGUUAAGCAUCCCGCCUGGGGAGUACGGUCGCAAGAUUAAAACUCAAAGGAAUUGACGGGGACCCGCACAAGCGGUGGAACAUGUGGUUUAAUUCC
rnacentral:rRNA from 1 species